rnacentral:rRNA from 1 species
UGGUGAGGAAUAACACGAGGAAACUUGUGCUAAUACCUCAUAAGUCUUUACGGAGAAAGCUUUAUGCGCCGAAGGAUGAGCCUGCACUUGAUUAGUUUGUUGGUGGGGUAAUGGCCUACCAAGACUUUGAUCUAUAGCUGAUCUGAGAGGAUGAUCAGCCACAUUGGGACUGAGACACGGCCCAAACUCCUACGGGAGGCAGCAGUAGGGAAUAUUGCACAAUGGAGGAAACUCUGAUGCAGCGAUGCCGCGUGAGUGAAGAAGGCCUUUGGGUUGUAAAGCUCUUUCGUCGGGGAAGAAAAUGACUGUACCCGAAUAAGAAGGUCCGGCUAACUUCGUGCCAGCAGCCGCGGUAAUACGAAGGGACCUAGCGUAGUUCGGAAUUACUGGGCUUAAAGAGUUCGUAGGUGGUUAAAAAAGUUGGUGGUGAAAUCCCAGAGCUUAACUCUGGAACUGCCAUCAAAACUUUUUAGCUAGAGUUUGAUAGAGGAAAGCAGAAUUUCUAGUGUAGAGGUGAAAUUCGUAGAUAUUAGAAAGAAUACCGAUUGCGAAGGCAGCUUUCUGGAUCAAUACUGACACUGAGGAACGAAAGCAUGGGUAGCGAAGAGGAUUAGAUACCCUCGUAGUCCAUGCCGUAAACGAUGUGUGUUAGACGUUGGAAAUUUAUUUUCAGUGUCGCAGCGAAAGCGAUAAACACACCGCCUGGGGAGUACGACCGCAAGGUUAAAACUCAAAUGAAUUGACGGGGACCCGCACAAGCGGUGGAGCAUGUGGUUUAAUUCGAUGCAACGCGAAAAACCUUACCUACUCUUGACAUACUUGGGAAGCUCUUGUAAUGAGAGUGUGCCUUUUGGAGCCAAGAUACAGGUGCUGCAUGGCUGUCGUCAGCUCGUGUCGUGAGAUGUUCCGUUAAGUCGGAUAACGAGCGCAACCCUUACCCUUAUUUGCCAGCGAUUCGGUCGG